GCAUGCCUUACACAUGCAAGUCGAACGGUAACAGGUCUUCGGAUGCUGACGAGUGGCGAACGGGUGAGUAAUACAUCGGAACGUGCCCAGUAAUGGGGGAUAGCUCGGCGAAAGCCGGAUUAAUACCGCAUACGCCCUGAGGGGGAAAGUGGGGGACCGCAAGGCCUCACGUUAUUGGAGCGGCCGAUGGCUGAUUAGCUAGUUGGUAGGGUAAAGGCCUACCAAGGCGACGAUCAGUAGCUGGUCUGAGAGGACGAUCAGCCACACUGGGACUGAGACACGGCCCAGACUCCUACGGGAGGCAGCAGUGGGGAAUUUUGGACAAUGGGGGAAACCCUGAUCCAGCAAUGCCGCGUGUGCGAAGAAGGCCUUCGGGUUGUAAAGCACUUUUGUCAGGGAAGAAAUCCUUUGGGCUAAUACCCUAGGGGGAUGACGGUACCUGAAGAAUAAGCACCGGCUAACUACGUGCCAGCAGCCGCGGUAAUACGUAGGGUGCAAGCGUUAAUCGGAAUUACUGGGCGUAAAGCGUGCGCAGGCGGUUGUGUAAGACAGGUGUGAAAUCCCCGGGCUUAACCUGGGAAUUGCAUUUGUGACUGCACGACUAGAGUGUGUCAGAGGGGGGUGGAAUUCCACGUGUAGCAGUGAAAUGCGUAGAUAUGUGGAGGAACACCNAUGGCGAAGGCAGCCCCCUGGGAAUAACACUGACGCUCAUGCCCGAAAGCGUGGGGAGCAAACA
rnacentral:rRNA from 1 species